GUCGAGCGAACAGACGAGGAGCUUGCUUCUCUGACGUUAGCGGCGGACGGGUGAGUAACACGUGGAUAACCUACCUAUAAGACUGGGAUAACUUCGGGAAACCGGAGCUAAUACCGGAUAAUAUAUUGAACCGCAUGGUUCAAUAGUGAAAGACGGUUUUGCUGUCACUUAUAGAUGGAUCCGCGCCGCAUUAGCUAGUUGGUAAGGUAACGGCUUACCAAGGCAACGAUGCGUAGCCGACCUGAGAGGGUGAUCGGCCACACUGGAACUGAGACACGGUCCAGACUCCUACGGGAGGCAGCAGUAGGGAAUCUUCCGCAAUGGGCGAAAGCCUGACGGAGCAACGCCGCGUGAGUGAUGAAGGUCUUCGGAUCGUAAAACUCUGUUAUUAGGGAAGAACAAAUGUGUAAGUAACUAUGCACGUCUUGACGGUACCUAAUCAGAAAGCCACGGCUAACUACGUGCCAGCAGCCGCGGUAAUACGUAGGUGGCAAGCGUUAUCCGGAAUUAUUGGGCGUAAAGCGCGCGUAGGCGGUUUUUUAAGUCUGAUGUGAAAGCCCACGGCUCAACCGUGGAGGGUCAUUGGAAACUGGAAAACUUGAGUGCAGAAGAGGAAAGUGGAAUUCCAUGUGUAGCGGUGAAAUGCGCAGAGAUAUGGAGGAACACCAGUGGCGAAGGCGACUUUCUGGUCUG
rnacentral:rRNA from 1 species